rnacentral:lncRNA from 1 species
UUAUUGUCUGGUGGUGCUGAGGAGGUUUCAAACUUGUGUCUUCUCUCUAGCCGGUGGUCUCUGUUUCUACUAUAAGAAAAGGCUCUUACAUGUCGACAAUGACAAUAUGCGUUUAGUGACCACCAGUCCAAUGGGAGUUUUAUUGCAUCGCCUCCCUUCGAGUGAUGCUGUGGCACUUCGAUCCUUCUUUCAUUCUAGUUUUAUUUAGCGAUCAGCAUCGCAUCCCUUCUGAGUGAUGUGCUUUGUUUUGGAUUUUCUAUUUCUUUUUUAGAUUUUUCAGGUCUGGAUCUGUAUUGUGCAUGUUGUUUUCUAAGUAUGCCCUCUUUUUUUCCUCCAGCUAUCUAUGAUGCCCAUAGUCUUAGGCGGUGGAUAAAGCUGCAUGGGCUGGAUUUAGAUUUAGGCUGAGCUAUAAUUAUUGGAUUUUAGGCUAGACUUUUCUUAAAUUUGUAUUUGCUGUUUGGCGGAAUCAACUUUCAAAUACAAAUUCACCUUUGCAUGUUACUGUGGCAUCAACAUUGACACUCACCAAACUCAAUUGCUACUGUAAAAUUUUAAAUUAUAUAUUUUUGUUAAAUAUUCAAUUUCACCUAUAAAUUUGUUUGAAAUGUUCUACUUAUCUAUUCUUUUAUUAUAUUUGUUUAAAUUAAUUUUAAUGUUUCAAUUUAAAUUUAAUUUAGCUCACAAUGAAAAUUUUUUGAGAGCAAAAGCUCAAUUUUGUUUUAAAUUUUUAAGCUAAUUUUAAUUAAUUAACUCAAAAAUUAAAAAUUUAAUUUCUAAUUUCUCUUAUUUUUAGGUUAAAUUGAAUUUAAAUUAAAAAAUUAAAUAUAUUUGCACAAAAAUUUAAAAUAUGUUAAAUUAAAUAUUCGUUCCUUUUUAUUUGGUGUUCUUUUCUUAAUUUUUCCUUUCCCCUGCUUUGGACAGUGAAAAAACUUUUGAUAAUUUGUUCCUUUUUAUUUGACCCUUCGAUUUUGGUUUGUUCCUUCGCUGGGAGAGUGGCUAGGUUAAAGUUUUUUCGUUGGUUUUGCUUUUCUUUUGGUGUGGUGUAGGUUCUAGUGUUUUCUCGCCGGUAAAUAAUAAGCUGUGCAUUUAAGGGUGUUUCGAUUAGUAUGUGAAGAGUUUUGAUUUUGACGACAUUAGCAUCUCGAGAUUGCACCGCCACGUUCCACGAGCACCACUCCCAUAUGAUAUAUUGCAUGCACCACUCCCACAUGCUGUAAAUCGGCUAAAUUUUGCUACGUCCUCUCUAUUAAUAUUUUCUGGAUGCUUGGUAUUAAAUUUAAUGGACUGCUAUCUAUUUUGUCACUAUUAUAUUAAAUUUAAUGGAUUGCUAUCUAUUUUGGCGCUAUUGUAUUGUGAUGUGAUUUCUCUUAUUUUUUUUCUUUUUUAUUUUCGUUGCUAUUAUGUGCCUCUUUAUGAUGAUGUUUAAUGUUUGUGUUUGCCUCCUACAGCAUCUCACUAAUAAAAUUAACGUAGUUGAGUUGGUUGCGAUUGGAUUGGUGCUGCAGUUGUUAUAGUAUAUGUUCCUCUUCUGUGCGAUUUUUUUUAUUUUGAUUGAUUUAUUUAAUUAAUUUAAUUUUUUUUAUUUUAAUACGAUUUAGUAGUUGUUUUUGAGCUUGUUUUGUAGCAUGUCAGUUUGGACAUUUAGUUUUUCAGUUGUAAUUAUUUACUCUUAUGAAUCAUGUGAAAAUGCAAUAUAUUAUGUAUUGAUAAUAAAAAAAUUAUCGUUAUUUUUUUUCUCAAUUUUUAUUUAAAAAUUGUACAGGUUAAAAGGAGUUAUAUUACCAAUUAGCAGUGGGCAACACGCGCAUUAAAGACGACUUGUGUACGACUUUUCCUCACUUGAAUGUUUAUGAUCUGAAGACACCUUGGCCAGACAAUGACAGAAUGACUGAUA